ensembl:misc_RNA 7SK 7SK RNA
CAAAGGUGAUCUGGCUGCGACAUCUAUCACCCCAUUGAUCACCAGGGUUGAUUCGGCUGAUCUGGCUGGCUAGGCGGCUGUCCCUUUCCUCCCUCCCUGCUCCAUGUGCGUUCCUCCUGAAGCUACAUGCUUGGUAGAAGGGGAAGACUUUCUCUGAUAGAGGAAUGGACCGCCUUUUGGUCAAGGGUAUACCAGUAGCUGAGUUCCCCUGGUAGAGCCUCCAAACAAAAAGAAAAUUAGGUGAAAAGUUACUAGAUAGGCUGUUUCAUAAGGAGACAACACCUUAAAAAAAAGGAAAACAUCUCUUCAGAUCCUUAACACCUUGUUGGUAUCUUUAA